GACGAACGCUGGCGGCGCGCCUAACACAUGCAAGUCGAACGGAGAUUACAGGCGGAAGUUUUCGGAUGGAAGCUUGUAAACUUAGUAGCGGACGGGUGAGUAACACGUGAGCAACCUGCCUAUCAGAGGGGGAUAACGAUUGGAAACGAUCGCUAAUACCGCAUGACAUAGCGGAAUCGCAUGGUUCUGUUAUCAAAGAUUUUAUCGCUGAUAGAUGGGCUCGCGUCCGAUUAGAUAGUUGGUGGGGUAACGGCCUACCAAGUCGACGAUCGGUAGCCGGACUGAGAGGUCGAACGGCCACAUUGGGACUGAGACACGGCCCAGACUCCUACGGGAGGCAGCAGUGGGGGAUAUUGCACAAUGGGGGAAACCCUGAUGCAGCGACGCCGCGUGAGGGAAGACGGUCCUCUGGAUUGUAAACCUCUGUCUUCGGGGACGAAACGAGACGGUACCCGAGGAGGAAGCCACGGCUAACUACGUGCCAGCCGCCGCCGUAA
rnacentral:rRNA from 1 species